rnacentral:rRNA from 1 species
UACGUAGGGGGCUAGCGUUGUCCGGAAUCAUUGGGCGUAAAGCGCGCGUAGGCGGCCCGGUAAGUCCGCUGUGAAAGUCCAGGGCUCAACCCUGGAAAGCCGGUGGAUACUGCCGGGCUAGAGUCCGGAAGAGGCGAGUGGAAUUCCUGGUGUAGCGGUGGAAUGCGUAGAUAUCAGGAGGAACACCGAUGGCGAAGGCAGCUCGCUGGGACGUUACUGACGCUGAGACGCGAAAGCGUGGGGAGCAAACAGG